CUAUCUCAGUGCCAGUCCUUUCUUCAGAAAAAAAGUAUCCUACAUAGCAUAGUUUCAACAUUUUGUUAUAACCUAAAACGAUUAUUUAACACACUACUUCAGAGAAUGAAUCCAGCAUUACUUUCUAACACAUGUAAUAUUCAUUUGAAUAUUUGCGGAAAGCCAAUAAUAAAAUACGCAUUUUUCACACAAGCGGGCAGAGCCCAUGGAAAGGGACAUUUCGGGUUAAAGAGUCAGGGAGGGCACCUGAGGCGUUCCCCUGAGGGCGGUGAGGUGAAUUGCGUUGCCUUGGCCGUGCCGCUCGGUAGGGGGCGCACUCCCCGCCCCUCCCUCCCCGGGGCUCCCUUAUCACCCCCAGCGGGCGAUGUUGCCGCGCCACCGCCUCCACCUCCUGCUCUUCCUCCGCACCCUGCACGGCUCUGCCUUUGGCAUGGGCGACUGGGCCUCCCGCCUGCCGCAGGCGAGCGAAGCGCUGCCCGGCAGGAGCCAGCGCAUGGCGGUGCCAGCUCUUUUCAGAAAAUCACUGUGUUGGAGUGAUGGAUCACUAAAAUUUGGAACUCGAAUGCUGUCUCUGGCCCAGGGGAAACAGGACCACAUUGGAUGGAAGAGAUUUCUGGUCACUCAGAGAACCAAGGGAGUCUCUGUCUUUCCAAACCCUUCCUUGACCAG
rnacentral:lncRNA from 1 species